GUGCAAGCCAUGCGCAACAAAUACAAAAGAUAUCUUUUUUAAAUAAUGCAGAAUCUUUAACAGGGGAACAGAGCCUGUGAGUUGCAGACCACUGGCAUUUUUAAACCAAAACUCUCUUCUUGGGAGACAGCCAAGUCAUUGGGUCAGAGCGAGGAUCUCUCUCGAAAAGAGAAGCUGGCUGGGUAAUUCGAUUUCAAAGUUCAUUUUCAGUCUUGCUUCGCCGGCGCCAAGGUAUCACAUUGCUUGGCACCAGGAAUCAUUAUUGCCGCCUUCACUAUCGAACCUCGGCUACGUGCGAAUAACCCACCGCAGGAUGACUGCCCUUCAAGGAAGAAAGGUUGCAGCUCUCAAAAGAGGGAUUUCCAGAAAAAAGAAAGUGUUUGAAAGAUUGUGAUCUAUAGUUAAUGUUCCAUGGUGGGAAGAGGGACUGAAGAUGCAGACAGCAUUAAUUUAAAUGAAAUGAAAAUCAGAAAGAAACUGCGCUUGCAGGAAAUCUGAAAUUGGAAAAUAAAA